AUUGAACGCUGGCGGCAGGCCUAACACAUGCAAGUCGAACGAGUGGCGGACGGGUGAGUAAUGUCUGGGACACUGCCUGAUGGAGGGGGAUAACUACUGGAAACGGUAGCUAAUACCGCAUACCAUCGGAUGUGCCCAGAUGGGAUGAGCUAGUAGGUGGGGUAACGGCUCACCUAGGCGACGAUCCAUAGCUGGUCUGAGAGGAUGACCGGCCACACUGGAACUGAGAAACGGUCCAGACUCCUACGGGAGGCAGUAGUGGGGAAUAUUGCGCAAUGGGCGCAAGCCUGAUGCAGCCAUGCCGCGUGUAUGAGGAAGGCCUUCGGAGUGUAAAGUACUUUCAGCGGGGAAGCGUUACCCGCAGAAGAAGCACCGGCUAACUCCGUGCCAGCAGCCGCGGUAAUAC
rnacentral:rRNA from 1 species